UUCUUAGUUCUAUUGGUAUAGACAAAUGAUAUUUGUCUAACAUUCUACAAAAACAUCCUGCUUUGAUCUAUCAUCCCCAUCUGGUUAAUGGAAAGAGAAGGAAUCCAGACUUUCAUUAUCUUUCACAUAUCCAAUCAUUUGUUAAACAUUUUAUUUUCUUACCAUAAACUUAUCUUCUGUACUUUUCUUUAUAGAGCACUAUUGAUGUUCCUUUGGGAUUGCUUGCAUUGGCUACUUGUUGCACAUUUAGUUAUCUCGUUCAUUCCAAGAAGUGGCACCGGAGGUCAAACAAUAAUGGAAGUCUAUGGCAGCGAAGACCUAAGCAAGCAUCUUCUGGUAGGCAAGCUGAAAACUUGAGUUUCGCGUCCAAGGGAACAAGAAUGUCAUUUUGGGGGGCCUCAACUUCAUAUUCUCCGUCACCAAAUGCUGCAGGAAAGGGCUACUCAUUCUCCAAGCGGGUGAAGCAACCGGAUCAAGAUUAUUACUCGACCUACCAUAAUGUGCCAAGAAGAAAGUUCUCCGAGGAAGAAUGGGACAAGUUCACGCGUCAGUCAACGAGCGCCGCCCUAACCGAGUGGGCGUCAACUCCAGAGGUCAUCAAAUGGAUUGGCAAUAAUGCACAUCGGAUGCGGCUUAUCGAAGAAGACCACAACCAGGAUGACACAUCGGAGUCGGAUUCUCCCAAAGAAACUGUCCCAAGAAAUGAGAGUGAACCAAGUUUCUUUACGUGGUUAUGAACUCAUGUGGUCAUAUUAUUUUUUGGUUAUUUAAUUGGCUUCCAUGUCAA